GGGCCCGUGGUCUAGAUGGUUAUGACGCAGCCCUUACGAGGCUGAGGUCCCCGGUUCGAAUCCGGGCGGGCCCA
rnacentral:tRNA from 1 species